CAGGGACAACUACGGCCAGAAGAGGAAGAGGAGGCGUCAGGGGAGCACAGCUCCCAGCAGCUCUGGAGCUUCCUCUUCUCAGCCUGAGGGAGGGUCUGCAGCACCUGCCUCUGAUGUCUGAGG